GGGAGUCUGCUAAUGUCCAUCCAUGGUCAACAAAUACCCACUGCUGAGAGCUCUGAUUAUUAGCUAUAUCUCUUAAUCUGCAGCCGAAUUUGCCUGUGGCCAGUAUUGGAAUGCUGGGAGGUUUAGCACUGAGAAAAAAAAGAAGGUAAAAUUUAUUUGGCCUACUAUUUCAGAUACCCUAGAUUUAAUCUAUCACAUUCUCUUUCUAUUAUUAUUUUAUAUGAUGCUGUAAUGUCCUGAUGCUAGAGCAAAACUGCUACAGUAUCAAGCUUAUAUUUUGAUUUUAUUUUUUAAAGAUAGAUAGAUAGAUUGAUUGAUUUAUGAAAAAGAGAGCCCAUAGAUGGGGGGCAGCGAGGAGGGUGGUGAGGGUGGAGAGGGAGAAGGAGUCUUAAGCAGACUCCUCUCUGAGCACACAGACUGAUGCAGGGCUGGAUCUCAUGAGCCUCAGAUGAUGACCUGAGCUGAAACCAAAGUCGGAUGUUUAACCAACUGUACCACCCAGGCACCCCAUGCUUAUAUUUUUAAGUUAUAGAUUAUUUAGCCGAUCUUGGUUGGGAAUUACAUAAUUAAAGUAUUGACUCAUCUAUCAGUUUGCAGAAUGGCUAGAAACUAAACUGCCUGGAGCCUUAAAAUCCUCACUGGACUUAAAUAUCUGAAAAUUUGUUCAGUGUCUUUUUGAAAUAAAGCUUUUGUAUUGGGCCAUUGGAUAAGCUAAUGUUCAAGACUACAAUAAUAGUGGCUUGAACAAGAUAAAAUUUAUUUUCCCUCUUAUAUGAGCUCAGUUUAUUUUAAAAUGACAAUAUUUACUCAUUUUGAAAAAAAAUUCUCAAAUUUAAAAUAUACUUCAUUAGCGUCUAACUAGAAGUUGCAGAGUAACUCUGUGGCACACAUACUAUGACUGCACCCACAUUUUAAAAUACCGUUCGCUGAAAAAUACAUAGCCACUCUAGGCCCAUAGACUUCUAUUUCAGGGUCAAAACACAGACACACAAAUGCAGAACUUGGUAUACAUGGAAUCUUUCCAUGGAAUAGGGUAGAAAGUUGGAAAGAGUGGCUUAUGGACACAAAAUCUUGAUGGACAGGGACACUUGGGUGGCUCUGCGGUUGGGUAUCUGCCUUCAGCUCGGGGUGUGAUUCCAGGGUCCUGGGAUCAAGUCGGGCUCCCUGUAAGGAGCCUGCUUCUCCCUCUGCCUAGGUCUCUGCCCCUCUGUCUGUGUCUCUCAUGAAUAAAUAAAUGAAAUCUUUUUUUAAAAAAGUCUUGAUGGACAAAAGAGAUUAUAACUCUUGAGCUAUUCAAGAGAUCUAUUAUCCCAUAGUAUUCGUUUACAGAAGUAUUAGAAGUAUUGAAGAAAUGCUAUUUGCAAGUGAAAGACUCAUGCUUUAAAAUUUGUGGGUCUGAUUAUCACUGCUUUAAACUCUCAAUGUCUUCUAACUUACAAAUACUAAGGCAUCAUGUUAGUUUUUAGGACAGAUUUUAGGUUCUGGUGCAUUAGAUUUUCCCAUCAUCUAACAGAGCAUGUCUAAAUUCCAAAGGAUUUUCUUGGAUAGUGUGAACAAAAUAUUAGGAAGCUUUUUUCAACAUUUAGAGGUCAUUUAUAUAACAGAAUUCUGUUAUUUGGGACAUAGUUGGGAAUCUAGAAGUUAAAGAUUCUAAGCAGUCAAGAUACAAUUUGCUCCUAGGAGCUUCCCAGGCUUUCACUUAGGACUAGGAUCCCCCAAUUCUAAAAAGGUAGCUUGGUUCACAGCAAAUUAGAAGAAAUUAAAAGAGAACUGGGGAGGGAGAAAUCAAGGAGAUUCCAGAAAAGUCAAGAGCAACCUGCAACUAUCCAGCCAUAUUCAGUCUACCUGGCAAAUUGGAAUAAUGACAACCUUCAUCUAUUGCUUAUGUUAUACCAGGCAAUGGGCUAAGUGUUUUGUAACCCAUUAUUUCGAUCACAAUAUCCCUGUGACAAAGAUAUUUUUGUCCUCAUCUUAUACUGGCACAGAAGUUAAGUAACUUGCCUAAAGUCACAUUGAGUAUUUAACUGAAGUAUUAUUUGAACCUAAUAUAUAAUUAAAUAUAAAAUAUAUUUAUAAAAUACGUAAUUAGGAGGCCUCUUUCUGAAUCGCUAGCUAUGUAGUUAUGUUCUACAUAUGAACAUAUGUUCUACAAUCGCUAGCUUUUCUACCCAUACAUAAAAAUCAUAAUGUAAAAUUAUUCAGAGUAAAUAGCUUGUUGUAUCCUUGGCUUAGUAAACAAUGAAUUGGUAAGCUGGAUCAGGAAUUUUAUAUAUUUGAAGUGAGAAAAGCACUAAUUUUGGUGUCACAAAUUGCAUAUGUAUAAAUGCUGAGAAUUUUCGGUUUAUUAAGUCAAGGUAUCUCAACAAUGGCACCUUAACAUUUUGGGUCAGAUAAUUAACUCUUUGUUGUGAGACGCUGUCCUGUGCAAUGCAGGAUAUUUAGCAGCAUCCCAAGCCUCUACCCAUUAGCUGCCAGUGGCAACUCCAUCCCCAGUUGUGACAACCAGAAAUGUCUCCAGACAUUGCUAAAUGUUCCCUGCAGAGCAACAGUGUCCUUAGUGGAGAAUCACUGGUUUAAGUAAAAGAGCUCAUAUAAGUGAAGCCUAUUUUAACUUUUUAGAAUAGAUUAUGACAAACUUAAAAGAGGCUUUAAUCAAUUCCUUAUUUGACAGUUUAGGGGACUGAAGUGGGCGAGACAGAGGGAGAGGGAGAGGGAGAAUCUUAAGCAGAUUCUAUGUGGGGCUCAAUCCCACAACCCUGAGAUCAUGACCUGAGGUGAAAUCAAGAAUUGGACCCUUAAUGGACUGAGCCAUCCAGGCACCCUAACAGUGGCUGUACUGUACUACAUAUCCAAAAAAAUGUAUAAGCCUUCCUAUUUCUCCACAUUCCUCCCAAACUUGUUUUCCUUUUUUUUUUUAAUAAAAAAUAUAGCCAUCUUAGUCUAUGUGAGGAAGGUGAUAUCACAUAUUGUGGCUUUAAUUUGCAUUUCCUCAAUGACCAAUGAAGUUGGCCAUCUUUUUCACAUGCUUGUAGCGAUUUGUAUUGCUUGUAGCUAUUUGUAUAUAUUCUUUGGAGAAAUACCUUUUUAAGUCUAUUGCUCAUUUUUUACUGGAUUGUCUUUGUUACUGUGUUGUACAAGUUCUUUAUAUAUUCUGGAUAUUAAACUCUUAUCA
rnacentral:lncRNA from 1 species